rnacentral:snRNA from 1 species
GUGCUCACUUCAGCAGCACAUCAACUAAAAUUGAAAUGAUACAGAGAUUAGCCUAGUUCCUGAGCAAGAAUGAAACACAAAUUUGUGAAGCAGUCCAUAUUUUU